rnacentral:rRNA from 1 species
UACGUAGGGGGCAAGCGUUGUCCGGAUUUAUUGGGCGUAAAGAGCGUGUAGGCGGCCAUACAGGUCAGCUGUGAAACUCGAGGCUCAACCUCGAGACGUCGGUUGAAACCGUAUGGCUAGAGUCCGGAAGAGGAGAGUGGAAUUCCCGGUGUAGCGGUGAAAGUGCGCAGAUAUCGGGAAGAACACCCGUGGCGAAGGCGGCUAGCUCGUGGGACGGUACUGACGCUGAG